UUGACCUCAAAUCGGGUGAGAC
rnacentral:rRNA from 4 species